ACAUGGACGGACACACACACACAAAUGGACACCCCCCCAACAAGGUGCCUGCUGGCACAGACCAGGCUCACCUGACUAUCCAAGCCCAGAGUCAGGAGCAUAAAGAAGAAAAGGAAGGACCAGAAGGGCGACAGAGGCAGCAUGGUCAUGGCCUGUGGGUAGACGACAAAGGCCAGGCCAGGGCCUGGGCCAGGCGCACAAAGGGUCAGCAGACUGGGGCACAAGGCAGGCCCUCACAGGCACACUCAAACACACACGGUUGCUUCCAUCCCCGUGGGCACACUCAUUUAGUCAGAUCCAGACAUGCAUCCUAGUGUACACUUCCAACACUGAACCCCUAAACCCCGGCCAGGAUGCCGUGGCUGCUCAAUGAACACAGCUUGACAAGAUAAAUGAACUGAUAAGGAGUGCAGGAAGAAACAUAAGACAAUAUAAAACCUCAUUUGAAUACACUUCCGUAUACCAUCAUCCACACAAACAAUCCCACUAACACACAGACGUGGACUUGUCCUCCGGCACAAGACACUGAUUCACAUCAUUGUCCACCCCCCGCCCCCCACCCCGAGGCUGGCCUGCCUGCCCACCUGCUUUGGCUACUUGGUCCACAGGCACACCCAGCUCCUGAGACAUGUAGCCCAGCACAGAGAAGAUGGCGAAGCCAGCCAGGAUGCUGGUGAUGGCAUUGCCCAGAGUGACGAUGAAGGAGGCGAAGGUGAGGAGACCCCCGAAGCCCACACCCAGGGAGUAGAAGAUCUGAAGAGCAGCUUCAAUCCACACCUGUGGCAGGGAAGGAUGCAGAUGGACAGCAGAGAGAAGGGGCUGGCACACCGAGGCCCUGUCCAGAGGACCACGGAAAGAGGAGGGAGGAGGUGGGGUGGGAGCUAGUCCACAGGUCCAGGGACGGCAUGGUGGAGAGCCUGGCUCCAGGUGAUGUGGGCCGGGAGCAAACCCCGUUCCAGCACUUACACGGCGGGACUUGGGGAGCCCUCCUCCUUCUACUCCCUGGCUCAGUCCUGACUCCUCCCUCAGCACCCCAGCCCCAAGUGCCUCACCUUGGAAGACAGCAGGUGGUGGAACUGGGGGGUGAGAUAGAAUUGGAUGCCCUUCCAAGCCCCUGGGAGGGUGACUCCUCGGACCAGCAGCAUGAGCAGAAUGAGGCAGUGCCUCCGAUGCCUACUCCCCACCCCUACCCUCAACCUCUGCCCCGUUGAUGUCUGUUCAUCCUCUCCAAUUCAGUCCAUGCCCUGCC